GAUGAACGCUGGCGGCGUGGAUUAGGCAUGCAAGUCGAGCGAGAACCGUAGCAAUACGGGGACAGCGGCGAAAGGGACAGUAAUGUGUAGGUACCUACCCCCGGGUUCGGGUUAGCUGCGGGAAACUGCAGGUAAUACCGAAUAAUGUCUCCGGACCAAAGGUGUGAUUCCACCUGGGGAGGGGCCUGCAUCCUAUUAGCUUGUUGGUGGGGUAACGGCCUACCAAGGCGACGAUGGAUAGCGGGUGUGAGAGCAUGACCCGCGUCAUUGGGACUGAGACACUGCCCAGACACCUACGGGUGGCUGCAGUCGAGAAUCUUCGGCAAUGGGCGCAAGCCUGACCGAGCGACGCCGCGUGCGGGAUGAAGGCCUUCGGGUUGUAAACCGCUGUCGUAGAGGAGGAAAUGCAGGGGGGUUCUCCCCUUUGCUUGACCUAUUCUAGGAGGAAGUACGGGCUAAGUUCGUGCCAGCCGCCGCAGUAA
rnacentral:rRNA from 1 species